UUAAAAACCUCUCACAACAACAAUGUGAGCGAGUCUCAAACACAACACAUAGCAAAACAAUACCAAUCAACGUGACACGUGAAAUUAUUAUUAUUUUUAAAAAGCUUCUUCAACAACCUCCGACCAUCAAUUACUUGUUGCCUUCUCUCAGUACUUUUAAGAUAAUCUGAGGAUGUUCUCGAGCGUGGACUGAGGUGAUGGGCAGAGUACCAACAUCAUCCAUCAUAGAGUUCGAGGAAGAAAAAGCCUCUAGAUUUGUAGAUGUUGCCAUUGACGAUGAGGAAUCGAUACAAACCAAC
rnacentral:lncRNA from 1 species